AGGGGCAGCACAAGGAGCAAUCUGAGGUGGCGACCGGCGCACGGGUGAGUAACACGUAUGCAACCUGCCUGUAAGCGGGGAAUAACCCGUUGAAAGACGGACUAAUACCGCAUAAUACUAAAUUACUGCAUGGUAAUUUAUUUAAACAUUUAUGGCUUACAGAUGGGCAUGCGCAUGAUUAGCUAGUUGGAGAGGUAACGGCUCCCCAAGGCAACGAUCAUUAGGGGUUCUGAGAGGAAGGUCCCCCACACUGGUACUGAGACACGGACCAGACUCCUACGGGAGGCAGCAGUGAGGAAUAUUGGUCAAUGGACGAGAGUCUGAACCAGCCAAGUCGCGUGCAGGAAGAAUGUUCCCUAUGGAUUGUAAACUGCUUUUGCAGGGGAAUAAAGUGCAUCACGUGUGAUGUUUUGUAUGUACUCUGCGAAUAAGGAUCGGCUAACUCCGUGCCAGCCGCCGC
rnacentral:rRNA from 1 species